AGGGGGUUUAUUCCGGAAAUUACUGGGGCGUAAGCGCACGCAGGCGGUUUGUUAAGUCAGAUGUGACCUUCUUUAGGAUCAACCUGGGACUGCAUCUGAUACUGGCAUGCUUGAGUCUCGCAGAGGGGGGUAGAAUUCCAGGUGUAGCGGUGAAAUGCGUAGAGAUCUGGAGGAAUACCGGUGGCGAAGGCGGCCCCCUGGACGAAGACUGACGCUCAGGUGCGAAAGCGUGGGGAGCAAACAGGAUUAGAUACCCUGGUAGUCCACGCCGUAAACGAUGUCGACUUGGAGGUUGUGCCCUUGAGGCGUGGCUUCCGGAGCUAACGCGUUAAGUCGACCGCCUGGGGAGUACGGCCGCAAGGUUAAAACUCAAAUGAAUUGACGGGGGCCCGCACAAGCGGUGGAGCAUGUGGUUUAAUUCGAUGCAACGCGAAGAACCUUACCUGGUCUUGACAUCCACGGAAGUUUUCAGAGAUGAGAAUGUGCCUUCGGGAACCGUGAGACAGGUGCUGCAUGGCUGUCGUCAGCUCGUGUUG
rnacentral:rRNA from 2 species